rnacentral:misc_RNA from 1 species
CAAAAGGGCAGUUCCGACGACUUUCCAUCUUCACGAAUUCUUUCCUGACGCGAUCGCAGUAUUUUGCCGCUCUACUCGUGUUUAUUUUCUCUGUGGUUGUAGCGUGGCCCCUCCAGAACAUCCUUAGUGGCUGAAGGGGUGCCAUCAGAGUCGUCCUGCAAGCUGUCUGCUGUGCGUGCCUGCCUUCUUUCCAGCGUUGACCAAACUAAACUCUUUUCUUUGUGUGCCCUCCCCCCUCCCCUUCCCUGUCUCGACCUCUUCUUCUUUCUUGAUCCGUCCUUCAGGGCACCUAUCUCGCACAGACGCGCUGAAUGUUCCUUCUUUGCUUUCCCUUGUGACAAUGCCGGCCAUCAACCGCGAGGAGCUCGACCGGCGUGUGGAGCAGAUCUACGACCAGGUGGUUGCCUGGCGCCGCUACAUCCACGAGAACCCGGACCUCUCGUUCGAGGAGCAGCCGACGGCGGCCUACAUCAUGGGUGAGCUGCAGAAGAUGGACGCGAAGGGCGAAUGGCUGCACAUCAGCCAGCCUGAAAGCAACUGCGUUGUUGCUGACCUGAAGGGUGGCGGUGGCGACGGCCCGAUCAUUGCGCUGCGUGCGGACAUCGACGCGCUGCCUGUCGAGGAGCUGACAGACGUGCCGUUUGCGUCGAAGAAGCAGGGCGUGAUGCACGCGUGCGGCCACGACACGCACGCGGCGAUGCUGCUCGGCGCGACGAGGCUGCUGCUGGAGGAUGCGGGGAGGAUCAAGGGCACCGUGCGCCUGCUGUUUCAGCCUGCGGAGGAGGUGCCGCCGGGUGGCGCCCAGAUGAUGAUCGAGAAGGGCUGCAUGGAGGGCGUGGCGAUGGUGUUUGCUGAGCACAUCUUUCCGUUUCCUGGGUUAACAACGGGGAAGGUAGGCUUUAUGCGGGGCGCUGUGACGAGCAGCAGUGAUUGCUUCUGCAUCGAUGUGAUCGGCCGCGGCGGGCAUGCCUCCAUGCCGGAGAGCUCCAUCGACCCUAUCGCGAUCGCGUGCCUUGCCGUGACUGCCCUUCAGCAGGUGGUGUCGCGUCGCAUGCCGCCAUCCAAGUGUCCUGUGCUGACGGUCGCGACGAUAACCUCGAGCUCUGACAGCUACAACGUGAUCCCUGACAGGGUGACGCUGAAGGGCACGCUGCGCACGCAGGAUCGCGAGGUGCGCGAAAACACGCUGAAGUACGUGGAAGACGUUGUAGCCGGCGUCACGAAGAGCUUCGGGGCGACCUACACGUGCAAAUGGAUCGACGGGUACGAUCUUACGAUCAACCACCCCUCCGCUGUUGACGUCUCGGAGCGAGUGUUUGCGCAGGUGUUGCCCUCGAAGGACGACGCCGUGGAGUUCAAGGAGUGCCACUAUGGCUCCGAGGACUUCAGCGCCUUUUCCAACUGCUGUCCCGGCAACUUCGUGGGCAUUGGCUGCUACAACGAAGCGGAGCAGUGCACUGCACUGAACCACAACGCGAAGUUCAAGGUGGACGAGGAGGCGAUGAAGGUCGGCGUGAAGGUCCACUAUGGCACUAUCCACGAGCUGCUCAUGCAGUGAUACGAUGAAAGCGUGGCCGAUGCCGCUAAAGCGCUGCUGUUCGCAUUCACCUCUCGCCGUCGCCACCUGUGGCCGCGGAUGCCGGGCAAAUAUGUGCACCCCCGUCGAGCCAAGUGUACGCACGCACACGUAUAUGCCCGCACGAGCACCCGGGUGUUGUCAACGUGUGAUGUCUACUCUCCCUCGCCGACCGCGCAAGAGAGACGAAAGAGAAUGCAAGGAUAAGGAUGCUCGUAGCACGGUGGCCGAGUUGCCCGUGCUGCACAGAAGAUGGCGCACAGACCCGGACUGCGGGCACUUUCCUCGUGAGCUUCACGUAGAAGUAGACGUGCACACAGAUAUGCUGUUGUUACACCGACUCGAAUUCUCACCGCGCACGCACCGUUCUUGUUCUGCUGCUCUCUCGCGCGUGUGGUUUCGUUUUUUUACCUAGGCCAUCUCUCCCCCUCUCUCGCCAUACGUAUGUACAUUUAUGUAAAUAUACAUACGCAUGCGCAAACACCCACAGAUCUCUAUGCUUCCUUCUAUCGAUAGACCGUGCUCUAUAGUUAGCUUCCCUUUUUGUUUCAUACUGCGUCUCUGUGUUUCGCCUGUGCGUCUGCGCUUAAGACUGCGCCUUCUGGCGAGCUCACUUACCGUUGACCUCCCCCUUCUUCCAUACACACAUACCACCCCUCAAUCUUCAUCCGUUGCCUUUUCUCACCAUUCAUCGCUUGCAGCUUCUUUGUCUUUUACGUUGUGGCGCUCUGUUCUCACUUCUUGGUGCCUCUCACGCUCCGUCCGCGCACCGGCCCCUUGCGUGUGUAUGUAGGGCGCGUCCGCCGAUGCGUGCGCCCAUCACUACGACUGGCCCUCUUGGUUGCACAGGGAAGCGCGCGGGUACAGGGGAGUCCGAGGGAGGUGGGGAGGGGGCAUCUUUAGCGCAUUAUUUCCCGUUUUGUUGUAAAGUUAUGCCCGUCUUUUCUGUUUGGUUGUCUGAUAGCUUGAAAACGUUUCGCUGCCUUUUUUUUGCUCCCCCCGCCGAACGGGACCAGAACGUCUGUCGAGGUUUUCGUUUGGCGUCGCUGGCCGUAGUCUUUUGUAUGUUAUUAUUAUGCGGCUCUGCACAGGUGCGGGUAUGCGCUCGCGUACUCGCCACGCCACCUCUCUCUGUCGACGCAGGGUUGCUGGAAAUCUGUCGGGGCUUAUUGCUUGCCGCGCGCUUUCACAGCGCUGGAACUCCCUUUCUACUACGGAGUCUGUACCUCUGCCGCCGCUCCAUAGCCCCACCAACACUUCUGUAUGUGCGUGUCCCUCUCCCUUCUCGUUCCUCGCUUGAAUUAAG